GCCGACUGGUUUUCCGUGCUCUUCUCAGGGUGUUCGCAUUUCAGUGAUGUAGUCUUCCCCUCAGCUUUUGCAUUUGAUGUUAUGCACAUUCACCACAGAUGACGAGGACGUAUUUACAAAGAAAAUGAAAAUCGGCAUUGUGAUGAUGAAAGACAGAAGACUUUUUUGACGUAUCACUGGUCCUUGAGGAAGAUGUCAUCCUCUUGGAUCUGAAGGACAUUCCAAAUGCCAUUGCCAUACUGAUGGGCUUUCUUUUUGCUCUCAACCUAGACUAUCCAAGCAAAUUUUGAAUGUCAUCCAAAAGGUCCUCAUGAACGUUGGUGGAGGACAGUGUUCCUCACUUGUGCAUGGUUUAUGAAAUAGACUUCAGCAAAAAAACAUCAUCUACAGACUGCAGACAUAAACAAGCAAGGAUAGGAUUCAGCGCUGAAGCAAGUGACUGUGCUGUACUGGGUUUCAUUGUAUAAUUCUCACUCUGCUGACAACCAAGACCUGAUCUCAUCCAUGCUUAUUAUGAAGGGUCCUCAUCAAGCAAACCUAAAUUCUUACCCAGUAACCGAAGGUCUUGUUCAAAAGAAAACGCACUUGAUAUUUGCCAUGCAGACCAGCUCAUAACCCCCUGACUCUGAGGCUCCCAGGUUUCAUCUGAUCAUGGUCCUGACCUGUGUGAAUUACUUGAUCUAAGCUUGGUGAAACCAGAUGGCUGAAAAAGGACCAGACGCUCUUCCUAUGUGUUUGGCUGUGAUAUCCAAUCAGCGAGCCUGUUAUUGCUCCACAUUGGUCAUUACAAUCUCUC